GACGAACGCUGGCGGCGUGCCUAAUACAUGCAAGUUGAGCGCUGAAGGUUGGUACUUGUACCGACUGGAUGAGCAGCGAACGGGUGAGUAACGCGUGGGGAAUCUUCCUUUGAGCGGGGGACAACAUUUGGAAACGAAUGCUAAUACCGCAUAAAAACUUUAAACACAAGUUUUAAGUUUGAAAGAUGCAAUUGCAUCACUCAAAGAUGAUCCCGCGUUGUUUUAGCUAGUUGGUGAGGUAAAGGCUCACCAAGGCGAUGAUACAUAGCCGACCUGAGAGGGUGAUCGGCCACAUUGGGACUGAGACACGGCCCAAACUCCUACGGGAAGGAGCAGUAGGGAAACUUCGGCAAUGGACGAAAGUCUGGCCGAGCAACGCCGCGGGAGUGAAGAAGGUUUUCGGAUCGUAAAACUCUGUUGGUAGAGGAGAACGUUGGUGAGGGUGGAAAGCUCAUCAAGUGACGGUAACUGCACAGGAAGGAACGGCUAACUACGUG
rnacentral:rRNA from 1 species